CACCCAACAGCUAGCCCCUCCCUCCAACUACAACAAGUCAACAUAGACUAACCCCAAAUACCCUCCCAUCCAUUAACCAAACCAUUUUUCCCCCUUAGUAUGGGCGACAGAAAAGGACCCAGGCGCCAUAGAAAAGUACCGCAAGGGAAAGCUGAAAGAGAAAUGAAAUAACCCAGUAAAGUACAAAAAAGCAGAGCUUAAGCCUCGUACCUUUUGCAUCAUGACCUAGCCAGUAAGCCCUGAGCAAAACGAAUUUUAGUUUAGACCCCCGAAACUAAGUGAGCUACUCCAAGACAGCCUAUAAGGGCGCACCCGUCUCUGUGGCAAAAGAGUGGGAAGAGCUUUGAGUAGAGGUGACAGACCUACCGAACUUAGUUAUAGCUGGUUGCCUAAGAACUGAAUAGAAGUUCAGCCUUUUAGCUUCUUCAACCCGACCUGAUUACAUCUCCCCCGGUCCAAAGAAAGCUAAAAGAGUUAGUCAAGAGGGGUACAGCCCUCUUGAAAGAGAUACAACUCUAACAAGCAGGUAAAAGAUCAAAAGAUAAAAGGCAUUACAUUCAAGUGGGCCUAAAAGCAGCCACCCUUAAAGAAAGCGUUAAAGCUUAAAUGUCUGCCACCCCCCCCCCCCAUCACGACGAAACCAUCUUAAACCUCUUAACCUAUUAGGCCUCCCUAUGCGAACAUAGGAGAGAAUAUGCUAGAAUGAGUAAUAAGAGGGCCCGACCCUCUCCUAGCACCCGUGUAUAUCAGAACGAACCCCCACUGAAAAUUAACGCCCCCAAUAAAAAGAGGGUAAUGAACCAAAAAACCCGUGAACCAGAAGCCCCUUCAUCAAACUAAGCGUUAACCCCACACAGGAGUGCCCCAGGAAAGACUAAAAGAAAAAGAAGGAACUCGGCAAACACUGGCCUCGCCUGUUUACCAAAAACAUCGCCUCUUGAACCCUCAAUACUAUAAGAGGUCCCGCCUGCCCUGUGACCAAAGGUUUAACGGCCGCGGUAUCCUGACCGUGCGAAGGUAGCGCAAUCACUUGUCUUUUAAAUGGAGACCUGUAUGAAUGGCAUAACGAGGGCUAAGCUGUCUCCUUUUUCCAGUCAAUGAAAUUGAUCUGCCCGUGCAGAAGCGAGCAUAAAUACAUAAGACGAGAAGACCCUAUGGAGCUUCAGACACCAGAACAGACCGCACUGAUUAAACCUUAAUUAAAAGAACAAGCCAGACACCCCCUGUUCUCCUGUCUUCGGUUGGGGCGACCGCGGGGAACAAAAAUCCCCCACGUGGAAUGGGAACAACCUCCCUAAAAAUAGGGCCACACCCCUAAUAAACAGAAAAUCUGACCAGAAAUGACCCGGCAAGGCCGAUCAACGAACCCAGUUACCCUAGGGAUAACAGCGCAAUCCUCUUUUAGAGCCCAUAUCGACAAGAGGGUUUACGACCUCGAUGUUGGAUCAGGACAUCCUAAUGGUGCAGCCGCUAUUAAGGGUUCGUUUGUUCAACGAUUAAAGUCCUACGUGAUCUGAGUUCAGACCGGAGAAAUCCAGGUCAGUUUCUAUCUAUGGAGUAUUCUUUUCUAGUACGAAAGGACCGAAGAGAAGAGGCCCCUGCCAAAGCAAGCCUCGCCCCAACCUUAGGAAAACAAAUAAAAAAGGCAAAGGGGUACAUCCUCCGUGCCUGAGAAAAAGGCAU
rnacentral:rRNA from 1 species